rnacentral:tRNA from 1 species
UCCCUGGUGGUUCAAUGAUUAAUACCUUGUACUACCAAUUCAGGGGCCUGGGUUCAAUCCCUGGUCAGGGAA